rnacentral:rRNA from 1 species
CAGCCGCCACGGGAAUACGUAGGGUGCGAGCGUUAAUCGGAAUUACUGGGCGUAAAGCGUGCGCAGGCGGUUUUGUAAGACAGGCGUGAAAUCCCCGGGCUCAACCUGGGAAUGGCGCUUGUGUCUGCAAAGCUAGAGUGCGGCAGAGGGGGAUGGAAUUCCGCGUGUAGCAGUGAAAUGCGUAGAUAUGCGGAGGAACACCGAUGGCGAAGGCAAUCCCCUGGGCCUGCACUGACGCUCAUGCACGAAAGCGUGGGGAGCAAACAGGAUUAGAUACCCGGGUAGUCCCUGUCUCUUAUAC